GCAGGGGAGUCAAUGCAAAAUGUAAAACAUUAAGUAAUUCCGCUCCGUUUGUGUUUUGCGCCGCAAUGAGCCACGGAGCUCAAUCAGAAAGUUAGCCAAACAAAUUGCGGAGCGAAGGCACAAAUGAGAUACGCUUUUCGCCUGACUUUAUUUUUGGCUUUGCUCAUCGCUUUAUUUUUCCCCGGCCGACACAACAACCAUACAAAAAGUUGCUUUUGGCCAACUAAGCCGCGGAUGAUUAAAACGCUAAAAAGAUCCUCAAACUGUGCGAAAAGCUCUUGAAAGGUAUGUAAAUGAAUGAUGAUUCCCCCAACCACUGUGAAUCAAUGAAGACAUUAAAAUUCCAACACUCGAGCUAAUAUUGGGUGGUUGAUUUUUGGCAGAAGAAUUCUCUACAAGGUCCUGAAAGUUAAUAAGAUGUUUUGAUACAACAUUUCUUAAAGAUGUCCUUAGACUCGUAUAUUACUCAGAGGAAAUUCGAGUUGGAAGUAAUAUAUACAAGGGCUUUACUUUACAAAGUUAAUUGCCGAGGCCAUGGACCAUGUGUGCUUCGCAGAGUGUGUGGCAGACUUUCAGCUUAGCAAAGUGAGCAGCAAAUUUUCCAGGAAUUGGCCAAGUGCCUCUCAGCAGGCACGAACACCUGAUUCCCGGGGAAAUGAGCCGGCUCCACGGGUGGCCUGGGCACCCGGCCAAGUUAAGCAGCUUAUGGCCCCCAAACUGAUCAAUAAUAAACGAAUUUAGUUUCGAGCUUCGGCCCCAUUAUAGGUGCCCGGGUCUCGGGAUGCUUGGCUGCCAGAGGGGCGAUUUCCACUCGGAAAUUUAUAAUCCACAAGGCGAACUGCAAUUAAAACGACUUAAUUGUUUAUUAAUGCGCACUUCCCAGCCGGGGCGUGAAAAAAAUAAAUUAAUUAGUUGCUAUUUUAAAUAUGGCGCAGACAAUUUAAAAUGCCACGCCAGUAAAAAUAAAACCAGCGCUUUUCCGAUGAGGGGGAAAAACUCCUUUGAUUUAUGCUGCCUGCACUUGUUCGAGGUCUGGAGUCUGAAGUCGUGGAUCUGUGGAUGUGGAAAUGUAAAUGGAGUGAAACUGGGGACUGCGACGCAUCGAGUGGAGCAGCCACUUUAAUUGCUCGCUGGAUUUUCACACUAAGUCCAUGUUUCCUGCAAACAGUACAGAAAUAGCCCCUUGAGUUGCUGAACAUCACGAACGCGCGAGCCCAAGAAAUUGGUGUGGGACGGGAGUCCCCCGAGUUCGAGGCAUGUCGUGCGAUGAUUAAUGAGACAAUUUUUAUGACAUCGCACAGUGGGCGACGCAUGUAAUAGUCCACCAACAUAAAUAACAGAAAUGUGUGGAGGCAUUAAGUGGAAAUGGGCAAAUAUUAAAUUGAUUACUGUACCAGAAGAAGCAGAAGAAAAUAUGUAGUAAUGGCUAGGAAAAUUGAGAUGCUCUGUAAUCUUUAAGAUAUAGUUAUGUAUAAUACAUAUAUAUAAACUAUAGUGUACGAAUUUUUAUACAUUAUAGUUGAAUAAUCUAGGCUUCUACUGUUCCAGAACAAGCAGAAAAAAUAAUAAUAGUUAGAAAAAUUGG